UAGGGAAUCUUCCGCAAUGGGCGAAAGCCUGACGGAGCAACGCCGCGUGAGUGAUGAAGGUCUUCGGAUCGUAAAACUCUGUUAUUAGGGAAGAACAAAUGUGUAAGUAACUAUGCACGUCUUGACGGUACCUAAUCAGAAAGCCACGGCUAACUACGUGCCAGCAGCCGCGGUAAUACGUAGGUGGCAAGCGUUAUCCGGAAUUAUUGGGCGUAAAGCGCGCGUAGGCGGUUUUUUAAGUCUGAUGUGAAAGCCCACGGCUCAACCGUGGAGGGUCAUUGGAAACUGGAAUACUUGAGUGCAGAAGAGGAAAGUGGAAUUCCAUGGGUAGCGGUGAAAUGCGCAGAGAUAUGGAGGAACACCAGUGGCGAAGGCGACUUUCUGGUCUGUAACUGACGCUGAUGUGCGAAAGCGUGGGGAUCAAACAGG
rnacentral:rRNA from 1 species